rnacentral:miRNA from 1 species
CUUCCGGUCAACGAGGUACAUGUACCUCAUCAACCGGAAGGAAACCCUUCUGAUUGAUGAGGUACAUCUACCUCAUUGAACGGAAG